rnacentral:ncRNA from 2 species
GAAUCGAGUAGAAGCGGUCAGCACAGAGGGCUCUCAACAGAACCCGAGGUGCAGGGCAUUGCUCUGGCG